AGCCAGACUCCUACGGGAGGCAGCAGUGGGGAAUAUUGCACAAUGGGGGAAACCCUGAUGCAGCGACGCCGCGUGAGUGAAGAAGUAUUUCGGUAUGUAAAGCUCUCUCAGCAGGGAAGAAAAUGACGGUACCUGACUAAGAAGCCCCGGCUAACUACGUGCCAGCAGCCGCGGUAAUACGUAGGGGGCAAGCGUUAUCCGGAUUUACUGGGUGUAAAGGGAGCGUAGACGGCAUGGCAAGUCAGAUGUGAAAGCCCGGGGCUCAACCCCGGGACUGCAUUUGAAACUGUCAGGCUGGAGUGCAGGAGAGGUAAGUGGAAUUCCUAGUGUAGCGGUGAAAUGCGUAGAUAUUAGGAGGAACACCAGUGGCGAAGGCGGCUUACUGGACUGUAACUGACGUUGAGGCUCGAAAGCGUGGGGAGCAAACAGGAUUAGAUACCCGGGUA
rnacentral:rRNA from 1 species